rnacentral:lncRNA from 1 species
CUGAGGCUGCUUCAUCUAAACCGGUUGAUGAGGGGGCUACGCUUAAAGAGACAUCUUCAGUCCCAGAGUCCUCAUCACAACCCAUGGAUGAACCACCUUCUUCCCAGGGCGUCAACCCCCCAAACAUCGAAGCAAAAGGUAAUUCAGUUUUUUGAUGUCUUAUCUUUGCUUGUGCUGUUGGUUUCUGAUUUGUUGCUUUUGAGUUUUGUAGAUACUCCUAUGAGUCCGCCCGUUGUGGCAACAUCUUCUCGCUCAGAUAAGAGGAAGUCCUCACGAAUGGAGGAGUCGUUGGUGGCAGACUUGGCUGAGGGCAUGCCAUCUUCCACGAUUGUUGAUGAGGUAAUCUUUGCUCCACUUCUAUUCUUAUCUUGUUCAUUGUAGUGAGAAUAUUUAAUAUUGACGAUUUUCUUUGUAUGAUGCUGAAAAAAUUGUGCGUUCUAUCCAAGACUUGUUCGCUUCCUGGGGGCAAGUCCGGACGUCUCUCCCUGCUCCAUCGGAUCGUCUUGCUGCUUUUUCAGAGGAAGAUUCGAAGUUCCUCAAGGAGUCGAUAUUUGGGUACGUGUCCUUCAUGGAUAUGGACAUUGGAAGGGCUAGUGCUGCCAGACACAAGGAUAAACUUGAGCAUUUGAAUGCGAAGUUGGAGCAAGCACUGACGCUUCCGUCGCUCAAUCUUUCUGUCGAUUUUAAAGCGACGUUGAAGGUUAUCCACUCCGAGGUCCUUUCUUUGCUGGCCAAGAAUGCUGAACUAAGGACCAAAAGUACUCAAUAUCUUCGAGCCGUAGCUGAGAAAGAGUCUUUGCGUAUGGAGAUUAACAAGGCUGAGGACGAGUUGAAAGAAAUCUCUUCCGAAGUCAUGGUUGAAGACUCUUUGAUGGUUAAUUUGGCUGCUCAGAUGAAGGAACUUCAAGCCAAAAUGGACGACUGCAGGGCGAGAAUGGCUGCUAAAAAGCGCAACGCCUCCCAGGGAAUUGAGCGAACUAAGUCCUUGGUCGAGC